rnacentral:lncRNA from 9 species
GGUAUUAAGCUGAAAAUAAGUCCCUAUAGGGGCAAAUAAUGACUACUUUAAAAUAUUUGAGGUCAUCUUAUGUAGGUUAUGUGGUGGAUUUUCCCUGUGAUGCUUCAUAGAAAAUCACUAGGCCUAAUAGGUGAGGUUUGAGAGGUAACGUUUCAACUCAAUGAAAGACUUGUCCAGGUAAAGGUAUAUAUUGGAAUCAGGGCCUUAAUUAUAUGAUGGGACUCAUGCUUUAUCUUGGUUCUAGAGACUGGAUUUGUCAAGUUGGGAACAUAGAAUUAAUUUUUAUGUCAUCUUGGAUAAAACAGAAUAUCUGCACUGUUUUCUCGUUACUUUCUAAGUCAAGUACUGACUGGAUGGAGAAAGAGCUGUCUCCUACCCUUUGUGACUCUUGAAUCCGCUCAGUCUUGGAACUACUGACUCCCCACAUGUUGGGUGAAUCAUGGCACUAGAUAAAGUGAAGUAAAAUCACUCAUCAUCAGGAUUAGUUCUAACAGCAUCUGCAGAAACCAAAGGAGAGCCAUGAUGUGACAGCUCUUUUGAAAACCUCCGUCAGAGUCAUCUGCUUCCUCUCGUUAUGUCUUUCCUCUUCAACUAUUUCCUCAGCCUGUACAUCUGGAGAAUCUCCUGUUCUGCAGUAAGUUAUCUUUGUUUCAUGAAAUCUGUGCAAUUUGUACAACACUUUCAACUAUCUUUAAAAUAGACAACACCCUGUCUGGGUCACACAGAUUGGACCACUGAGUGAAUACGUAGCAUUCUUUUUAGCCCUUUUGACAAUGGAUAAGGCCACCAUCACAAGGCAUUGGGUUCAUUUAAAAUUGGUGCCACAUCAUAGGGUUCACAAAUCACAAUGACAUAAAAAGAAGUAUUAUUUUUACCCCUCUCCACACCCACCUUAUUCUUCAUCUAUCCUUCUAGCACUCUAUAGCAAGCAUUUCAGUUCUGCAUAUAUGUAAAUUAAUUCUUAAAUGAUUACAGGGCCAUGGUGGCUUCUUAAAUAGGUGAUAAUUUUUUAAAGAUAUUUUUAAAAAGUCAGUAUUUGGAGUUGUAUAAUCCUUAGACUCCUGAAAACGAAUCUCUACUGUCAAUUAUUUGUAGGCUGAAGUAAAAGAACUGGCCUUGACUCUCAGAUGGAAUAGAUAAAUAUCAAACAUAUGGUUGGUUUUUAUAACCAUAUAAUCCAACUUAAAAACAAGAAUGUACCAACAGAAACUAAAAAGAUCAGCAUAAAACUUUUGUCACAAUAGGCAGGUCCUUUUAAAAGAAGAUGGCAAAUGUUUAGGUCCAUUUACACUGACUUGCUUGCAUUGGCUUCAGAAGAAUAAAGAUAAAAAAUACGGGCAAGAAUAAUCUUUAAGAAAAUAUAACUAGUUCAGAAGUAUUUACUUUGUAGAAAUAAAGUCCCAGGGGCAGAAAUACAGUGACCACAGGUAUGUGAGCUUGUAAAAAAUCUAGUUAAAGGAGAAGGCACAGUAUCACUAAAUCAAAUCAUAAGGUCUGACCACUGAGAUGUUCAGUUUGCUACAACUCAGAACUCCAGGGAGAAAAUGGUUCAUGAUGAACAAUCCAUUAUCCUUAGAUUAUUUGGAGCAAUAAAACACCUGAAAUAUUUCAAAAUGAAGUCAUAAUUCUGAUUGUCAAAAGUUUCAUCUCAUUUAAACUAAACAAUCAAUUACCACAUGUGCUUUAAAAUACAUGUUGUUACUUAACUUGGGUCUUUGGAAGCAGGUGAAUUGAGAGUGGACAGUUAAGUUCCUCCACUUAAUCUUCAACCUUUUCCUUGUGUCUCUGUAUUGCUAAUACAAAUCUUAAGCCAGAGCAUGUUUGUUCUUCAAGGUCUGUAAUAGCAGGUACAAAUCAGCUCUGCUAUGUUGACAGCCUUAAUUGAAUAUGCUCAACAUUAGAUUAAAAAAUUAAAAGUAUAAUUCCUUUCACCUUGCAGGGAUGUUUUAAAGUUAAUUAUAUAAGCCAAAAGAGAGGAAACAAUCAACCUCACCACGUAUUAGGAAUCAUUUUCAUCAUUACCCAUCAUUCUUUAGGAAUCAUGUCAUAUGAUUUAUUACCUAAGUGUUCAAACAUUUUCUUUUUUGUCAAAGUUUAUUACCAAAUGGUCUAUGUAAAAUAUAGUAAGAUUUGUCUCCUUGCGGUGAAACUUAGUUUAUCAUUUAAAAUUUAAAAAUCCAGGAGAGACUUAAUUCGAUGCUACACAAUUAUGGAAGGAGAAAGUGCAGACGUGAGUGUAUUAGAAAAUAUCCUUCCCUCUCUGUUAGCUUGUGUCUGGGGUUCAACCCUUUAUAGAGUAUUUUUCCUUCCCCAUAGUGUCAGCACCCCUAAUUUCAUUUGGGAUAUGCUUGUUUUUCAAGACAGAAGGUAAGAUUUUCCUUUUUGUUGUUUAAUUUUUUUUAAUGUUUUAAAGAACUCUAUAAAAGUAAUCAGCAUACACAUUUUUAAAUAUUAAAAUGCAGAUAAUGAUUCCAUUAAUCCCGUCUUUCUGUCCUUACCUUUUAGUCUUUCUCCUCAAAGGCAGUUGCCUUCAACAGUGUAUCUGCUGAUGUAAGUUUGAUAAAUUCACUUGAGCAUCUGCUGAAUUUGUCUAAGUGGAAGUGUCUAGAAAAUCGUUGGAUGUACAGGCCUGAAAUCUAGGAGCGAAAUCUUGGAUACAUGUAUUGCUUUGGGAAUUCUCAAUAUAAGGGUGGUAUUUGGAGCUAUGAAAAUAAUAUCUGUCUCAGUGUUUGCGUUUUCAAAUAUGUGUGGGAGAGCUCUUUGCAAAAGGAUCACAUAAAUGUAGAGUAUUCUUAGAGAAUACAUAGGUUUAAGUGUGCAAAUAGGAAGCUUAGUAUUAAUAAACCUUGGUAGGCCACUGUAUAUCUUGACUACAAGUAACUAGAGACAACAAGAAAAGAGAGAUGAUACAACAAACUGGGUAAAAAACAGCUCAAAGAUCAGCAGGAGUGGAAUGGAGGAAAAGAAACUGGAACUCAAUGUUAGGUUUUCUUUUUCUUUUCUUUUUUUUUUUAGGGCUGCACCCGAGGCAUAUGGAAUUUCCCAGCCUAGGGGUCAAAUUGCAGCUGCAGCUGCUGGCUUAUGCCUCAGACACAGCAACAUGGCAUCGAAGCCGCGUCUGCAACCUACACCCAGCUCCUGGCAACACCAGAUACUUACCCCCCUGAGCGAGGCAUCUUCACGGAUACUAGUUGGAUUUGUUGCCAUUUAGCCACAAUGGGAACUCCUAGGUUUUCUUGAGAUUAAACCUAGACUCUCUGUCCUACAGCCAGCGGUUCAGCAAUUAGAAGGAGGAAUUUGGGGUUAAUGAUUUCUUAAGCAUCACAGGAUUUUCCAUGGAGAUGGACAUAACUAAAAUAGAGUAUUCUUGCAUGAAAAAUUGUACAGUAAGUAAAAUUUGCCUUAACUUCUUUCAAUAUAAGUGCCUUUUAUUUUUAUACUGUGGUUUCUCAGAAUUCUCUGCUUCAGUGUUCUACUCAGUUUCAUCCCUUCUGAUCAAGUUUCUUCAUCUAGAAGUUUUUCCUUCACUUUCAUCAAAACUCACCUGAACUUCCACUACUGUCCAUGAAAGAUUAACUGCUAUGAGAAUUGUUUUUCUACCAAAUACAUUUAUAAAAUGGGACAAAGGACGAAAAAGUUUACACCUUGAACAAGAGGCAGUGCACAACUGUGAUCUCUGAGGUUAGAAAAUAAAUAAGGUAAAUCCUAAAAUGUCCCUAAUUUUCAUGUGCAGGGGCAGUUUGCAGAUACAGCACAUUCAGGGGACAUUCAGCCCAGGUCUAACAAUCUAGCUGAGUUGGUAACUGAACUUAGAGCUAAGGGAGGCGAUUGGAUAAAAUUCAUAGGGCACAAUAUCCAAAAAAGGGGUUGUACACACACACGCAGUGUUUUGGAAGUCUGCAAAAAUGUCCUCUUGAGACUUUGAUUGAAUAGAUGUAUAUAAUAGACGAAGUAAAAUGUCAUAAAGCCAAGGAAAACACCAACUAGAGAUAGUAGGAAAUUCUCUGGAGCUCACCUAUAGCUGGGAAGAAUGUGUGUUCCUGGCAGUCAGAGGUGAUAAACUUCAUUAGGCAUGCAGCAUUGGUAGACUCCUCAGAAGUGUAAAGCUUGUUUUAAAACUUCAAUAAAAAAGUGAAAAAGAUAGCUCUUUAGUUUUUUUAUUGAGAAACUCACAUACUGUUUUCCACAGCUGUUGUACCAACUUACAUUUCCACCAAAAGUGUAAGAGUGUUCCCCUUUUUUCAUACCCUCUCUAGCGUUUAUGAUUUGUAGGGUUUUUGAUAGUAGCCAUUCUGACUGGUGUGAGAUGAUAACUCGUAGUUCUGAUUUGCAUUUCUCUAACAGUUGUUGAUGUUGGGCAUCUUUUCAUGUGCUUUUUGGCCAUCUGUCUGUCUUCUUUGGAGACAUCUAUUUAGAUCUUUUGCCCAUUUUUAUUUAUUUUUUAAUAGUUAUUUCCCCAAUGCAAUUUUUCUUCCUACUAUACAGCAUGGUGACCCAGUUACACAUACAUGUACACAUUCUAUUUUCUCACAUUAUCAUGCUCCAUCAUAAGUGACUAGACAUAGUUCCAAGUGCUACACAGCAGGAUCUCAUUGUUAAUCCAUUUCCAAAGUUUCACCCAUUUUAAAAUAUUGGGUUUUUGUUUUUUUGAUAUUAAGCUGGAUGAGUUUGUAUAUUUUGAAGAUUAAUCCCUUGUCAUUUUCUACCAUAUGAUCCAGGAAUCCCCCUCCUGGUCAUAUAUCUGGAAAUAAUCAUAUUUUGAAAAGAUAAAUGCACCAUAAAAUUCGUUGCAGCACUAUUUACAAUAGCCAGAAUAUGGUAGCAACCUAAAUGUCCAUCAAUAGAGGAAUGGAUAAAGAAGAUACAGUGUAUAUAUAUAUGGAUAUUAUGGGUAUAUAAAUGAAGAUUACUCAGCCGUAAAAGAGAAUAAAAUAAUGCCAUUUGCAGCAACAUGGAUGGGCCUAAAGAUUAUCAUACUAAGUGAAGUAAGUCAGAUGGAGAAAGAAUAAUAUCAUAUGAUAUCAUUUAUUUGUGGAAUUUAAAAAAUUAUGCAGAUGAACUUAUUUACAAAAUAGAAACAGAUUCACAGACUUUGAAAACAAGCUUAUGUUUAUCAAAGGGGAAGGGUUGACCAGAUGGACUGGAGGGUUUGAAAUUGGAAAAUGCAUACUUUUGUAUAUGGAAUAGAUGAUAAGUGGGGACCCAAUGCGUAGCACAGAGAAAUCUACUCAAUGUUCUAUGAUAACCUAUAUGGGAAAGGAUACAUGUAUAUGUGUGGCUGAAUCAGUUUGAUGUACAGCAGAAAUUAAUGCAACACUGUAAAUCAACUAUACUUCCAUAAUUUUUCUUUUUCUUUUUCUUUUUGCCUUUUUUAAGGCUACACUUGAGGCAUAUGGAGGUUCCCAGGCUAGGGGUCCAACUGGAACUAUAAACACCAGCCUACGCCACAGCCACAGCAAUGCCAGAUCUGAGCCACAUCUGCAGCCUACACCACAGCUCACAGCAAUGCCAGAUCCUCAAUCACUGAUAGAGGCCAGGGAUUGAACCUGCAACCUCAAAGUUCCUAGUUGGAUUUGUUUCCACUUAGCCACAACAGGAACUCAAUAAUUUUUCUUAAAAAAUGAAAAAGAAUUCCUUGUUCUUUUUUAUGGCUGAGUAGUAUUCCAUUGUGCAUAUAUACACCACAUCUUCCUAAUCCAAUCAUCUGUUGAUGGACAUUUGGGUUGAUUCCAUGUCUUGGAUAUUGUGAAUAGUGCUGCGGUGAACAUGCGGGGGCAUGUGUCCUUUUUAAGGAAAGUUUUGUCCAGAUAUAUGCCUAAGAGUGUAUGUGUUACUGGGUCACCAUGCUGUACAGUAGGAAAAAAGUUGUAUUGGGGAAAUAACAAUUUAAAAAGUUAAAAAAAAAAAAAGAAUACCUUGAAAGCAUCAAACUUAUUCUAGGUCAGAAAAAAGCUGCAAACUAUUUUAAAGAAAAAUAUCAUCACUCAAAACCUCACAAUUCAUAAUUUCUUACAUCUAAUAAGCAUGCAAAAGAGCAGGACUAUAUGGCUUUUUUUUUUUUUUUUGUCUUUUUGCCAUUUCUGGGCCGCUCCCGCAGCAUAUGGAGGUUCCCAGGCUAGGGGUCGAAUCGGAGCAAUAGCUGCCAGCCUACGCCAGAGCCAUAGCAAUGCGGGAUCUGAACCGAGUCUGUGACCUACACCACAGCUCAUGGCAACGCCGGAUCAUUAACCCACUGAGCAAGGGCAGGAAUCGAACCCACAACCUCAUGGUUCCUAGUAGGAUUCGUUAACCACUGUGCCACAACAGGAACUCCAUAUAUGGCUCAUUUUUGAUAGAAAAAAAUUAAUAGAAACAGACCUAGAUAUGAGAAAAAUGAUGGAGUGAUCAGACAAAUGUCUUAAGCAUCUAGUAUAAACCUUAAAAACAAAUUUAAAGAUAUUAAGAGAACAUAAGAGAUAGAAACUAUAAAAGUAAAACUUUUAGAACUUCUAGAGAUUCAAGUAUAAUAUUUGAAUGAAAAAUACAUUAGAUGCAAUCAAUUACAGAUUAGAAAUUGCAGAAGGAAACAUUAGUGAACUUGAAGGCAUACCAAUAGAAAAUAUCUAAGAUUUGCUUCAUCAAGGACCUGUGAGAUAGUAAGUUGCCUUAUAUAAAUAAAAUUGGAGUCUGGUAGGGGAGGGAAGAAAGAAUGAUCAAAAUAGAAAUUUCGUAUUGUGGCUCAGUGGUAAUAAGCCCAACUAGUAUCCAUGAGGAUGCAGGUUUGAUUCUUGGCCUUGCUCAGUGGAUUAAGGAUCCAGCAUUGCUGUGAGCUGUGAUGUAGGUCAUAGACACAGCCCAGAUCCCACCUUGCUGUGGCUGUGGCAGUGGCUGUGGCCAGCAGCUACAGCUCUGAUUCAACCCCUAGCCUGGGAACUUCCAUAUGGGUACAGCCCUAAAAAAAAAAA